rnacentral:misc_RNA from 1 species
GUGAUUGCAGAUUCAGUGAUCAUCGAAUCUUUAGAACGCACAUUGCGCCCUUUGGUAUUCCAAAGGGCAUGCCUGUUCGAGCGUCAUUUGUACCCUCAAGCUUUGCUUGGUGUUGGGCGUCUUGUCUCCAGUUCGCUGGAGACUCGCCUUAAAGUAAUUGGCAGCCGGCCUACUGGUUUCGGAGCGCAGCACAAGUCGCGCUCUCUUCCAGCGAAGGUCAGCAUCCACAAAGCCUUUUUUCAACUUUUGACCUCGGAUCAGGUAGGGAUACCCGCUAAACUUAAGCAUAUCAAUAAGCGGAGG